rnacentral:lncRNA from 1 species
CGAUUCUGUACACUAUUCUUAGCGAGUUUUGUCGUUAUUAGUAACGAAAAGUAUCGUUAUGAUGUCGUUACGGUGCGAGCGGAUAGCGAGGCUCAGAGACCCCCUCGGUACGCUAUAACGACGAUUAUAACGACACUUUGCACACGAGCUAGAGGAGUGGUGUGCGUUUCCCAUAUUUUUCUCGACUCCGAGAAAGUGCUUCGAAAAGUGCUCCGAAAGUGAAAAAUAAUUACGACGUUUGAAAUAACAAGAUCAUGGCUAUCGAAUACCUUGCUUGGGAUGUAUUCGUUCUUGAGGAAAGAUUACGUCGACUCGAACGUCGUGUGGAAAGAAGGCGACUGAGAGAUGCUCAGAAUCCUUUUCAGCUACCACGAGAAGAGUUUCUCAGCCUUUUUCGCCUGCCUCAAGAAGCUGUGAUGAAUCUUGGUUAACACCUUAAGCGCAGUCAAAGCGAAAAUAUUUUUCACUGUUCAGCAAAGCAGCAUAGGUGAUGCUGGAUAUCCGUUGGAGCCUUGGCUGUUAACACCUCUGGCCAAUUUUCCUGAAGAUACGCGACAACAUCAAAAUACACAACAACUAUGUAAGGCUAGAAGCGUCGUCGAGCGGUUUUUUGGAGUUUUUAAAUCUGUGUGGAGAUGCUUGUCAUACCAGCGAGUCUUGAUGUACGAACCAGCGUUCGCAGCGAAAAUUGUUAAUGCGUGUGCAGUACUGCACAACAUGAGAGUGCAACUACGAUUAAACAAUGAAGAUGACGAACAAUUAGCACCGAUAGCUCAUCCUGUAGAGAAUGAUGUUGAUCCGAUGGAUCAAGAUGAAGAAUACAACAGACGAGAACCACGCGCUUUGGCUCAACGAAUUCAACAACAAAUUAUGAGAGAAAGAUUUACCAACAUCCGUGAUGCGGAAGAAUAGAAUACAGAAUAUGGAAUGAUGUUUAUGGUUAAAUUGCCAACAAGUAUAAUGUUUAAAGGUGAUGAGAGAAAUUAACGACAACAGAGUCAGGGCGGUGUUACGCUCCGACGUACCGCCUUGGCGUACCUUUUUCAAAAUUCCAUGUCAUUUCAUUUCUUUAAUAUCUUCAAU